GAUGAACGCUGGCGGCGUGCCUAAUACAUGCAAGUCGAGCGAACAGAUAAGGAGCUUGCUCCUUUGACGUUAGCGGCGGACGGGUGAGUAACACGUGGGUAACCUACCUAUAAGACUGGGAUAACUUCGGGAAACCGGAGCUAAUACCGGAUAACAUUUGGAACCGCAUGGUUCUAAAGUGAAAGAUGGUUUUGCUAUCACUUAUAGAUGGACCCGCGCCGUAUUAGCUAGUUGGUAAGGUAACGGCUUACCAAGGCGACGAUACGUAGCCGACCUGAGAGGGUGAUCGGCCACACUGGAACUGAGGCACGGUCCAGACUCCUACGGGAGGCAGCAGUAGGGAAUCUUCCGCAAUAGGCGAAAGCCUGACGGAGCAACGCCGCGUGAGUGAUGAAGGGUUUCGGCUCGUAAAACUCUGUUAUUAGGGAAGAACAAAUGUGUAAGUAACUGUGCACGUCUUGACGGUACCUAAUCAGAAAGCCACGGCUAAUUACGUG
rnacentral:rRNA from 1 species